rnacentral:rRNA from 1 species
ACACGUAGGGAGCAAGCGUUGUCGGGAUUUAUUGGGCGUAAAGAGCUCGUAGGCGGUUUCGUAAGUCGGAUGUGAAAACUCAGGGCUCAACCCUGAGACGCCAUCUGAUACUGCGAUGACUAGAGUCCGGUAGAGGAGCAUGGAAUUCCUGGUGUAGCGGUGGAAUGCGCAGAUAUCAGGAGGAACACCAAUGGCGAAGGCAGUGCUCUGGGCCGGUACUGACGCUGAGGAGCGAAAGCAUGGGGAGCAAACAGGAUUAGAUACCCCAGUAGUCC